rnacentral:rRNA from 1 species
GGUUAGUCCGCAACGAGCGCAACCCUCGCCUUUAGUUGCCAGCAUUCAGUUGGGCACUCUAGAGGGACUGCCGGUGUCAAACCGGAGGAAGGUGGGGAUGACGUCAAGUCCUCAUGGCCUUUAUGUCUAGGGCUACACACGUACUACAAUGGCCGGUACAAAGGGCAGCCACUCAGCGAUGAGGCGCUAAUCCCAUAAAGCCGGUCUCAGUCCGGAUCGCAGUCUGCAACUCGACUGCGUGAAGUUGGAAUCGCUAGUAAUCGUAGAUCAGCAUGCUACGGUGAAUACGUUCCCGGGCCUU